rnacentral:rRNA from 1 species
CGUGUAAGUUCACAUCUUUUAUGGUGAAACCGCGAAUGGCUCAUUACAACAGCUAUAAUUUACUGGAUGUUGACUAUCCUACUUGGAUAACUGCGGUAAUUCUGGAGCUAAUACAUGCAUCAAAGCUCUGACACCCUCGGAGCGCAUUUAUUAGAACAAAACCAAUCGGCUUUGGCCGUUUGUUGUUGACUCUGAAUAACUUAGCUGAUCGCAUGGUCUUGUACCGGCGACAUAUCUUUCAAGUAUCUGCCUUAUCAACUUUCGAUGGUAGUUUAUGUGCCUACCAUGGUUGCAACGGGUAACGGAAAAUAAGGGUUUGAUUCCGGAGAGGGAGCCUGAGAAACGGCUACCACAUCUAAGGAAGGCAGCAGGCGCGCAAAUUACCCACUGGAGGUGCUCCAAGGUAGUGACUAACAAUAACGAGACCGUCUUCUAUGAGGCCGGUUAUCGGAAUGGGUACAAUUUAAACCCUUUAACGAGGAUCUAUGAGAGGGCAAGUCUGGUGCCAGCAGCCGCGGUAAUUCCAGCUCUCAAGGUGUAUAUCCCUAUUGCUGCGGUUAAAAAGCUCGUAGUUGGAUCUCCGCCUCAGGACGUGGUCCGCCUUUAGGUGUGUACUGCGAUCCUAGGCAGUUACUGCUGGUUUUCAGCCGGUGGCCUUAACUGGUUGCCGGUUGUGGCUAGCGAGUUUACCUUGAGUAAAUCAGAUUGCUCAAGAAAGGCGUUUCGCCUGAAUGUUUGUGCAUGGAAUAAUGGAAUAGGACUUCGGUUCUGUUUUGUUGGUUUUCUGAACUGAAGUAAUGAUUAAGAGGAACAGACGGGGGCAUUCGUAUCGCUGCGUGAGAGGUGAAAUUCNUGGACCGCAGNGGGACGCCCAANAGCGAAAGCAUUUGCCAAGAAUGUCUUCAUUAAUCAAGAACGAAAGUCAGAGGUUCGAAGGCGAUUAGAUACCGCCCUAGUUCUGACCGUAAACUAUGCCAUCUAGCGAUCCGGUGGGGUUAUUCGCCUCGCCGGGGAGCUUCCCGGAAACGAAAGUCUUUCGGUUCCGGGGGUAGUAUGGUUGCAAAGCUGAAACUUAAAGAAAUUGACGGAAGGGCACCACCAGGAGUGGAGCCUGCGGCUUAAUUUGACUCAACACGGGAAAACUCACCCGGCCCGGACACCGUUAGGAUUGACAGAUUGAAAGCUCUUUCUCGAUUUGGUGGUUGGUGGUGCAUGGCCGUUCUUAGUUGGUGGAGCGAUUUGUCUGGUUUAUUCCGAUAACGAGCGAGACUCUAACCUACUAAAUAGUUUCACGAUUUUCGGGUCGUGUGAACUUCUUAGAGGGAUAAGCGGUGUUUAACCGCACGAGAUUGAGCGAUAACAGGUCUGUGAUGCCCUUAGAUGUCCGGGGCUGCACGCGCGCUACACUGGAAGGAUCAGCUGGUCGCCCAUUGCCGAAAGGUAAUGGUAAACCGUUGAAACCCUUCCGUGACCGGGAUAGGGAAUUGUAAUUAUUUCCCUUGAACGAGGAAUUCCUAGUAAGUGUGAGUCAUCAGCUCACGCUGAUUACGUCCCUGCCCUUUGUACACACCGCCCGUCGCUGUCCGGGACUGAGCUGUUUCGAGAAGAGUGAGGACUGACGCAGAGGGGCUUUCGGGCUCUGCUGUGAUGGGAAUCACUUUAAUCGCAAUGGCUUGAACCGGGCAAAAGUCGUAACAAGGUACCU